UUCUGAGGUACUGGCAAACACACACAAAAAUGUUGCAGCAACACUCAGGCAAAACAAGGCUCUUACGUAGAGUGAUCAUGAUACUGCUGCACUCUGCAUGGACAUGCCAGGGAAAGGGAUUAUGACUUGUGCCUCAAGACAGAUAGAAGAAAUCCUGCUAUUUACCCGGCAGCACCCAGGACUAAAACAAGCAUAAUAAAACCUACUACUUCCUGACACCACCCAAGGCUCUUCACCCUCAUUAGGCAAACUCUGCCCUAGGAGGAGUAUAAAUCAGCCUCUGCUGCUCAUAAGACUUAAAUGAACACUUUUUUUUUUUCUUAUUACAAACGUAUCUUCUAUGUCACUGCCAAGAAUCCAGUCUCCAGUCUGUUCUAAUGAUCAAGGCCUUACAUGUGCCCCACAGAUUUGGAAGUAGUGCAGCUACAUAGUCCUUAGGAGUGAAAGUUGUCUAGAAGCAUAUAAGAAUAACACUCUGGAUUUCUUUUACUCUUGACUGUAAAGCAGUGUUAAGUGUCUUUCUUAGAGGCUGAAUGGACUCCCUGGGAGAACAGCACUUUGCAGAAGAGCUACUAGUAAGGCAGGUAUUACCUUUUUGCAUGCUCAGAUGAAGAAAUGUCACUUGCAACUUGGUAUUUUUGGCUUUAUCUUUCAUUACAAACGUGGUACUUUAUCAUGGAUUUGGACUUAAAAAAAAAAAAAAAAGAGGAAAGAAAGAAAGAAAAUAAAAACAACACUAAGUUAUGCAAACAAAGGCUAAACUAUUUCCACUAAAGGCUAAUACUGAGAUACGGCUACUACUAGAAUGAAUUAUAUGUUGCCCUGUUUUCACCUGGGAUAGAGUGGACUUUCUUAAUACUGUUUAGUACAUUUUGGAUUUAGGAGAAAAACAAUACUGAUAACACACUGAUGUUUUAGUGCUGAGCAGAGCCAAGGAUAUUUCAGUUUUGAGCUUCUCGUGUUGUCCUGACAGCAAAGGAGCUGGGGUGCACUUUGAGCUGGGAGAAGACAGAACGGAGACAACUGACCUAAACUGCCAAAUGGGAUAUUCCAUACCAUAUGGCAUCAUGUGAACUGGUUGGGCAUCAGCUUGCAGGUGAUCUUGGUUACAGUUGAGCAUCAUAAAGCCUGCACCAGCUACAGAUUCCAGGCCUGCAACAUGCAUGAUCAGAACAUUCUUCUGCACUCCUCAGAGAAGAAGAUUCUUUUCCUCCUAACCCUGUUGACCAGCAUUACUUUUUGGAGUCCUGCUGUGAUAAAAUUUACCAUCCAGCAACUGUAUGUGCACAGGUGGGUGAAGCCAUAGACUGUUAUGCAUAUAGUGGGGACUGUGAUAAACAAAGCUGCAUCUCACAUAGAGUUAUAAGCCAGAUGGAAACAAACAACAAUACAAAUGUUUAUUGUUCUUCAUAGCAGAGAUGAACAUUCUAUAAUCUCUCUGGACAGCCUGUGCUAGUGUUCUACCACUCUCACGGUGAUUUUACUUUUCCCAACCUCUGAUUUGCAUUUUUCUUGUUGCAGCUUAUGGCUUAAGCUUGUAGUCCUUUUGCUGUGCCACUAAAUGGAAAGCAAGAAACAAUUCUUUACAUAACCACUGCAAGACCACUGAGGGCUUGAGGGACUGUUUUAGCAGUUGCUCUGAGGUUUUGUUUACUUCAUUAGAAGAUAUUGUAGAAAAUGAUUUCAAUUUAUUUUUUUUUUUAAUAUGCUAAAAUACUUGGAAAAAGAAUGGGGUUCUUUGUAGCAAAGUGUUGGAAAGACUUGAAUGCUGAGUUUGUUGUUCAUGAGGGUCUAUUCAUAAUUCCACUACUGUUUUACAUUUUAAUCACGGAGUUUCAAGUCUAUACACAAAACUGUGAUCUCAGGAAUGGUGCACCAGUCAGUCCACGUGAUUACUUUUAGUGUUCUGUUC
ensembl:lncRNA